rnacentral:rRNA from 1 species
UUGGACGCUGGCGGCAUGCCUUACACAUGCAAGUCGAACGGUAACAGGUCUUCGGAUGCUGACGAGUGGCGAACGGGUGAGUAAUACAUCGGAACGUGCCCGAUCGUGGGGGAUAACGCAGCGAAAGCUGUGCUAAUACCGCAUACGAUCUACGGAUGAAAGCAGGGGACCGCAAGGCCUUGCGCGGACGGAGCGGCCGAUGGCAGAUUAGGUAGUUGGUGGGAUAAAAGCUUACCAAGCCGACGAUCUGUAGCUGGUCUGAGAGGACGACCAGCCACACUGGGACUGAGACACGGCCCAGACUCCUACGGGAGGCAGCAGUGGGGAAUUUUGGACAAUGGGCGCAAGCCUGAUCCAGCCAUUCCGCGUGCAGGAUGAAGGCCUUCGGGUUGUAAACUGCUUUUGUACGGAACGAAAAGGCUCUGGUGAAUACCUGGGGCUCAUGACGGUACCGUAAGAAUAAGCACCGGCUAACUACGU